rfam:Cicer arietinum chromosome Ca3, whole genome shotgun sequence.
UGAAUCUUUCAAAUUAUUGAAAACUCAAACGUUGUUUGAGUGCAGUGAACCAUUUAUUUGAAUAGGAAGAUCUGAUGC